GAUGAACGCUGGCGGCGUGCCUAAUACAUGCAAGUCGAGCGAACAGAUGAGGAGCUUGCUCCUCUGACGUUAGCGGCGGACGGGUGAGUAACACGUGGAUAACCUACCUAUAAGACUGGGAUAACUAGGGAAACCGGAGCUAAUACGGGUUAAUACAUUGAAUCGCAUGGUUCAAUAGUGAAAGACGGUUUUGCUGUCACGUAUAGAUGGAUCCGCGCCGCAUUAGCUAGUUGGUAAGGUAACGGCUUUCUAAGGCAACGAUGCGUAGCCGACCUGAGAGGGUGAUCGGCCACACUGGAACUGAGCCACGGUCCAGACUCCUACGGGAGGCAGCAGUAUGGAAUCUUCCGCAAUGGGCGAGAGCCUGACGGAGCAACGCCGCGUGAGUGAUGAAGGUCUUCGGAUCGUAAAACUCUGUUAUUAGGUAAGAACAACUGUGUAAGUAACUAUGCACGUCUUGACGGUACCUAAUCAGAAAGCCACGGCUAACUACGUG
rnacentral:rRNA from 1 species